rnacentral:rRNA from 1 species
UACUUCCUACGGGGCGCAGCAGUAGGGAAUUUUCGUCAAUGGGCGCAAGCCUGAACGAGCGAUGCCGCGUGAGUGAAGAAGGCCUUCGGGUCGUAAAGCUCUGUUGCGGGGGAAAAAAGGCAGCAUCAGGAAAUGGGUGCUGACUGAUGGUGCCCCGCCAGAAAGUCACGGCUAACUACGUGCCAGCAGCCGCGGUAAUACGUAGGUGGCAAGCGUUAUCCGGAAUGAUUGGGCGUAAAGGGUGCGCAGGCGGUCCUGCAAGUCUGGCGUGAAACGCA